rnacentral:rRNA from 1 species
GACGAACCGUGCGAACGUUGUUCGGAAUCACUGGGCUUAAAGGGCGCGUAGGCGGGAAGGAAAGUCAGAUGUGAAAUCCCUGGGCUCAGGAACUGCAUUUGAAACUCCCUUUCUUGAGUACCGGAGAGGAAGGUGGAAUUCCUGGUGUAGCGGUGAAAUGCGUAGAUAUCGGGAGGAACACCGGUGGUGUAAACGGCUUUCUGGACCAUAACUGACGCUGAGGCACGAAAGCGUGGGUAGCAAACAGG